GGCGGUUCGCCGCCCGUGACGUUGCGAGAAGUCCACUGAACCUUAUCAUUUAGAGGAAGGAGAAGUCGUAACAAGGUUUCCGUAGGUGAACCUGCGGAAGGAUCAUUGUCGUUUGCGAAAACACGACCGUUGUGCUCGUGAUCGAACGCUGCGGGGGCAGCUUUUGCCUGCCCGUCCCAAAAAAAUACGGCGCGGGUUGCGCCAAGGAACACGAUAUGCAGAGGCGGCGGACGGAGCGCUCUGGCGUGACGUCCGCCAUUGAUGCAAGAGAUAUACACAUUAUGACUCYCGGCAACGGAUAUCUCGGCUCUCGCAUCGAUGAAGAACGUAGCGAAAUGCGAUACGUGGUGUGAAUUGCAGAAUCCCGUGAACCAUCGAGUCUUUGAACGCAAGUUGCGCCCGAGGGAUCCGCCCGAGGGCACGCCUGCCUCAUGGGCGUUAGAAGCCCAUCCACGCUCGGGAGCCUAGCCCCGAUGUGGAUCUUGGCCCUCCGAGCCCCAGGGCGCGGUGGGCCCAAGUGCGUGGCCGUCGGAAGGAGCCGGGAGCGGCGAGUGGUGGACUGCUGCGUUCGUCGCCCUAUGCGCCUUUCCGGCAUAUGGCUUUGCUCGACCCUCGACGAGGAGUUGCGUCGCAUUUUGUUGCGCGCGGCAACUUCGGAUCGAUACCCCAGGUCAGGCGAGGCUACCCGCUGAGUUUAAGCAUAUAAAUAAG
rnacentral:rRNA from 1 species